rnacentral:lncRNA from 1 species
AGAAUCGAGAAUGAAGUUUUCAUUCUGUACAUGCCAGAUCAUGAAUUAGUAACUGCAUCCAAUCUCCGAAAAGUCCCGAUUGUUUCGAUUUUUGAAAUGGGAUAUUUACGGAAUCCCCAUGAAUAGGAUCCNNNNNNNNNNNNNNNNNNNNNNNNNNNNNNNNNNNNNNNNNNNNNNNNNNNNNNNNNNNNNNNNNNNNNNNNNNNNNNNNNNNNNNNNNNNNNNNNNNNNUGGGGGAGGGUCAUCCAGCUAUUGAAUGCUUUGCCUGAUCACCCUCGUGAGAAGAAUGAAAUACUUGAUAUCUUCUAUAAUGGACUUACCGAUGCUUCGAGAGAGCACCUAGAUAGUUGUGCCGGUUGUGUUUUUAUGGAACGAACUAUAGAACAAGCUGAGAUUCUACUGAAUAACAUCUUGUGCAAUGAGAAUGCUUGGACUAUUCCUGAACCACCUCUGAAGCCGACUCUGAAGAAAAGAGGUAUUCUAUUUCUCAGUCCUGAAGAUAUGCAAGAAGCCAAGAAAUCUAUGCGAGAGAAAGACAUUAAAUCUGAAGAUGUCAAAAAUCUAGCACCUAUCGAAGAGAUCCAUGGUCUUGAUAACCCGAUACAUGUAGUAGAAGUAAAUUCUCUACGUAGGUUUGAUGAGAGUGAUAUUCCUUUUGAUAAACCUGCUAGCCUAUGCCUGGAUGAAUUUGAUAACUUUGUUGCCAAACAAUAAAGUUUCGGGAACCUCGGGGUCCGGUUAUGGGGAACUCGUCAAAACUCGUAGCUUUGGCUUAUUCUGGCCAGUUUUCUAUCCUAUUAGUCACUGAUUUUGGGUCCCGAUGCGAUGGGAACAUUUCAGGAACUCCGGGGUCUGGUUACGGGGAACUUGCCAAAACUCGCAAAACUUGAAGUUUCGGCCUACUCUAGCUAGUUUUCUAUGCUAUUAGUCAUUGAUUUUCGGUCCCGAUGCGAUCCAAAUGUUUCGCGAACCCCGGGGUCCGAUUACGGGGAACUCGUCAAAACUCGUAAUUUUGGCUAUUCCGGCCAGUUUUGUAUGCUAUUACUCACUCAUUUUGGGUCCCGAUGUGAUCCAAGCAUUUUGGGAACCCCGGGGUCCGAUUACAGGGAACUCGUCAAAACUCGUAGGUUUGGCCUAUUCUGGCCAGUUUUGUAUGCUAUUAGUCACUGAUUUUGGAUGUCGCUGUGAUUCGAACGUUUCGGGAACCUCCGGGUCCGGUUACGGGGAACUCGUCAAAACUCGCAGUUUUGGCCUAUUCCGUCCGGUUUUGUAUGCUAUUGGUCACUGAAUUUGGGUCCCGAUGUGAUCCGAACGUUUCGGAACCCAAGGGUCCGAUUACACGGAACUUGUAAAAACUCACUGUUUUGGCCUAUUCCGACCGGUUUUGUGUGUUGUUAGUCACUGAUUUUGGGUCCUGGUGUGAUCCGAACGUUUCGGGAACCUCGGUGUCCGGUUACGGGGAACUCAUCAAAACUCGUAGUAUUGGCCUAUUCCGGCUAGUUUUCUAUGCUAUUAGUCACUGAUUUUGGCUCCCGAUGCGAUCCGAACGUUUUGGAAACCCCGGGGUCCGGUUAUGCGGAACUCGUCAAAAGUCGCAGUUUUGGCAUAUUCUAGCCAUAUUUCUAUGCUAUUAGUCACUGAUUUUUGGUACCGGUGCGAUCCGAAAGUUUUGGGAACCCCGGGGUCCGGUUUAAGGGAACUCGUCAAAAGUCGCAGUUUUGGCCUAUUCCAGCCAGUUUUGUAUGCUAUUAGGCUAUGAUUUUGGUUCGCGAUGUGAUCCGAAUGUUUCGGGAACCCUUGAGUCCGAUUACGGGGAACUCGUCAAAACUCAUAGUUUUGGCCUAUUCCGGCCAAUUUUGUAUUACUCAUUUUGGGUCCUACUGUGAUCCAAACGUUUUGGCAACCUCGGGUUCCGGUUACGGGGAACUCGUCGAAACUCGCAGUUUUGGCCUAUUGUGGCUAGUUUCGUAUGCUAUUAGUGACUGAUUUUGGGUCCCGCUGUGAUCCAAACAUUUCGGGAACCUCGGGCUCCGGUUAUGGGGAACUCGUCAAAACUCGUAGUUUUGGCCUAUUCUGGCCAAUUUUCCAUCCUAUUAGUCACCGAUUUUGGGUCCCGAUGCGAUGCGAACGUUUCGGGAACCCCGGGGUCCGGUUACGGGGAACUUGUCAAAACUCGUAAAACUCGGAGUUUUGGCCUAUUCUAGCUAGUUUUCUAUGCUAUUAGUCUCUGAUUUUGGGUCCCGAUGCGAUCCAAACGUUUCGUGUACCCCGGGGUCCGGUUACGGGAAACAAGUUAAUACUCACAGCUUUGGCCUAUUCUUGCCAGUUUUGUAUGCUAUUAGUCAGUGAUUCUGGAUGCCGCUGUGAUCCGAAUGUUUCGGGAAACUCGGGGUCCGGUUACAUGGAACUCAUCAAAACUCAUAGUUUUCGCCUAUUUUGGCCAGUUUUCUCUGCUAUUAGUCACUCAUUUUGGGUCCCGCUGCGAUCCGAACGUUUCGGGAACCCCGAGUUCCAGUUAUGGGGAACUCGUCAAAACUCGCACAUUUGGCCUAUUAUAGCCAGUUUUCUAUGGUACCAGUCACUGAUUUUGGGUCCCGGUGUGAUCCCAAGGUUUCGGGAACCCUCGGGGUCCGGUUACAUCGAACUCGUCAAAACUCGUAGUUUCGGCCUACUCCAACCAGUUUUCUAUACUACUAGUCAUUGAUUUUAGGUCCCGCUGUGAUCCGAACGUUUCGGGAACCCCGGGGUCCGGUUACGGGGAACUCGUCAAAACUCGUAGUUUUGGCCUAUUCUGUCCAGAUUUGUAUGCUAUUAGUCACUCAUUUUGGGUCCCGCUGUGAUCCGAACAUUUCGGGAACCCCGAGUUCCAGUUAUGGGGAACUCGUCAUAACUCGCAGUUUUGGCCUAUCCUAGCCAGUUUUCUAUGCUAUCGGUCACUGAUUGUGGGUCCUGAUGUGAUCUGAAUGUUUCGGGAACCCCGGGGUCCGGUUACGGGGAACUCGUCAAAACUGACAAUUUUGGCCUAUUCUAGCUAGUUUUGUAUGCUAUUACUCACUGAUUUUGGGUCCCACUUUCAUCCAAACGUUUCGGGAACCUCAGGGUCUGGUUACACGAAACUCGUCAAAACUCGUAGUUUUUCCCUACUCUAGCCAGUUUUCUAUGCUAUUGGUCAUUGAUUUUGGGCCCCACUGUGAUCCAAACGUUUCGGGAACCCCGGGGUCCGGUUACGGGGAACUCGUCAAAAUUCGUAGUUUUGGCCUAUUCCGGCCAGUUUUGUAUGCUAUUAGUACCUCAUUUUGGGUCCCGAUGUGAUCCGAACAUUUCGGGAAACCCGGGGGCCGAUUACUAGGAACUCGUCAAAACUCGCAGGUUUGGCCUAUUCCGGCCAGUUUUGUAUGCUAUUAGUCACAGAUUUUGGGUGUCGCUGUGAUUCGAAUGUUUCGGGAACCUCGGGGUCCGGUUACGGGGAACUCGUCAAAACUCGCUGUUUUGGCCUAUUCCGGACUGUUUUGUAUGCUAUUGGUCACUGAUUUUGGGUCCCGAUAUGAUUCGAACGUUUCGGGAACCCCGGGGUCCGAUUAUAGGGACUUGUCAAAACUCGCUGUUUUGGCCUAUUCCGGUCGGUUUUGUAUGCUAUUAGUCACUAAUUUUGGGUCGUGCUGUGAUCCGGACAUUUCGGGAACCUCGGUGUCCGGUUACAGGGAACUCGUCAAAACUCGCAGUAUUGGCCUAUUCCGGCCAGUUUUCUAUCCUAUUAUUCACUGAUUUUGGCUCCCGAUGAGAUCCGAACGUUUCGGUUACCCGGGGUUCGGUUAUGCGGAACUCGUUAAAACUCGCAGUUUUGGCAUAUUCUAGCGAGUUUUCUAUGCUAUUAGUCACUGAUUUUGGGUCCCGCUCCGAUCCGAACAUUUCGGGAACCCCGGUGUUGGGGAUAUUACCUAUGGGUAACCCGCCCUUAAUGGGCCGGGUCACCAAAGCGGCAACUCACCAUGGGCUGCGCGUCCUGUCGCCCAAGAACUGAAGGGUGGUUCAGAAGAUCGUGCGGAAGAUGGAAUGUCAAGGAAGUUCCUGAUUGUGUUGAACACGGUGACUUAGAGAUAAGGAAAGCUAUGAAGAGUAGAAUGGCAGGACUUUGUAAACCCUAGGGCCUCGACCUGUAUAUAAAGGCGAGUCCCAGGGAGAGGUCAGGCGAGUUAGAGAGAAUCGAGAGCUAGGUCACGCGAGUUACGCCCUCUUUGUAAUCAAAACCACCAUUAAUCCACUUAAAGCAGGACGUAGGCUUUUACCUCCUCACGAGGGGCCGAACCUGGGUAAAUCUGAGUCUCGUUUUCGCUCACCCCCUUCGAGUCGCCACCAAGGUCCGAUGGCUCCAUCUCUAAGUCCUUUCACAAGGACAUCUGCCGUGACAAAACCACAACAGUUGGCGCCCACCGUGGGGCUAGCGCAUGCUGGAGUUGAGUUCUCGAAGGGAGCCCUACCAGGGUUAGAAAGCUAUGCGGUCGGCAUAAUGACUAAAAGCCGUCGCGGGAAGUACUACAUCGACAAUUCGGUGUGGGAGCCGGAGGCCGAUUCUGUCGAAUCUGGCUACCGAGUCCCCUUCGGCAAGAUCAACGUCUUCAUCGGCAUGAUCGGGACACCUGUGCCUGAGCCGGACAUCUCCACCGACAUCGUCGAGCCGACCAGGUACCUCCUCCCCGUUACACGGCGGGACAACAGUCGCCAUGUCUUCGUCGGUUUUACACAGGGAAACGACACGAAGAUGAAGUGGCGGGUCAGGAGAUAACCCCCGUCAAUUCUGAUGGUGAGUCAUCCAUGGGCGAUGCGAACGUUUCGGGAACCCUGGGGUCCGGUAACGGGGAACUAGCCAAAACUCGCAAAACUCGCGGUUUUGGCCUAUUCUAGCUAGUUUUCUAUGCUAUUAGUCACUGAUUUUGGGUCCCGAUGCGAUCCAAACGUUCCGGGAACCCCGGGGUCCGUGGCCUAUUCUUGCCAGUUUUGUAAGCUAUUAGUCACUGAUUUUGGAUGCCGCUGAGAUCCGAACGUUUCGGGAACCUGAGGGUCCGGUUACAUGGAACUCGUCAAAACUCAUAGUUUUGGCCUAUUUUGGCCAGUUUUCUAUGCUAUUAGUCACUCAUUUUGGGUCCUGCUGCGAUCUGAACGUUUCCGGAACACCAAGGUCCGUUUACGGGGAACUCGUCAACACUCGCAGUUUUGGCCUAUUCUAGCUAGUUUUCUAUGCUAUGAGUCAUUGAUUUUGGGACCCGAUGUGACCCGAAUGUUUUGGGAACCCUUGGGUCCGGUUACGGGGAACUCGUCAAAACUCGCAAUUUUGGCCUAUUCCUGUCAGUUUUGUAUACUAUUACUCACUGAUUUUAGGUCCCACUCCGAUCCAAACGUUUCGGGAACCUUGGGGUCCGGUUACAUGGAACUCGUCAAAACUCGUAGUUUCGGCCUACUCAAACCAGUUUUCUAUACUACUAGUCAUUGAUUUUAGGUCCCGCUAUGAUCCGAACGUUUCGGGAACCCCGGGGUCCGGUUACAGGGAACUCGUCAAAACUCGUAAUUUUGGCCUAUUCCGUCGAGAUUUCUAUGCUAUUAGUCACUCAUUUGGGGUCCCGAUGUGAUCCAAAUGUUUUGGGAACCCCGGGGUCCGAUUACAUGGAACUCAUCAAAACUCGCAGAUUUGGCCUAUUCCGGCCAUUUUGUAUGCUAUUAGUCACCGAUUUUGAAUGUCGCUGUGAUUCGAACGUUUCGGGAACCUCGGGGUUCGGUUACGGGGAACUCGUCAAAACUCGCUGUUUUGGCCUAUUCCAGCCGGUUUUGUAUGCUAUUGGUCACUGAUUUUGGGUCCCGAUGUGAUCCGAAUGUUUCGGGAACACCGAGGUCCGAUUACAGGGAACUUAUCAAAACUCGCAGUUUUGGCCUAUUAUAGCCAGUUUUGUAUGCAAUUAGUCACUGAUUUUGGAUAUCGCUGUGAUCCGAACGUUUCGGGAACCUCAGGGUCCGGUUACACGGAACUCGUCAAAACUCGUGGUUUUGGCCUAUUUUGGCCAGUUUUCUAUGCUAUUAGUCAUUGAUUUUGGGCCCUGAUGUGAUCCGAACGUUUCCAGAACCCCGAGGUCUGGUUACGGGGAACUUAUCAAAACUCACAAUUUUGGCCUAUUCUAGCCUAUUUUCUAUGCUAUUACUCAGUGAUUUUGGGUCCCGCUGUGAUCCGAACGUUUCGGGAACCCCGAGUCCCAGUUAUGGGGAACUCGCCAUAACUCGCAGUUUUGGCCUAUUCUAGCCAGUUUUCUAUGCUAUCGGUCACUGAUUGUGGGUCCUGAUGUGAUCCGAAUGUUUCGGGAACCCCGGGGUCCGGUUACGGGGAACUCGUCAAAACUCACAAUUUUGGCCUAUUCUAGCUAGUUUUGUAUGCUAUUACUCACUGAUUUUGGGUCCCACUUUGAUCCAAACGUUUCGGGAACCUCGGGGUCUGGUUACACGAAACUCGUCAAAACUCGUAGUUUUUCCCUACUCUAGCCAGUUUUCUAUGCUAUUGGUCAUUGAUUUUGGGUCCCGCUGUGAUCCGAAUGUUUCGGGAACCCCGGGGUCCGGUUACGGGGAACUCGUCAAAACUCGUAGUUUUGGCCUAUUCCGACCAGUUUUGUAUGCUAUUAGUAACUCAUUUUAGGUCCCGAUGUGAUCCCAACAUCUUGGGAACCCCGGGGUCCGAUUACUAGGAACUCGUCAAAACUCGCAGGUUUGGCCUAUUCCGGCCAGUUUUGUAUGCUAUUAGUCACUGAUUUUGGGUGUCGCUGUGAUUCGAAUGUUUCGGGAACCUCGGGGUCCGGUUACGGGGAUCUCGUCAAAACUCUCUGUUUUGGCCUAUUCCGGACGAUUUUGUAUGCUAUUGGUCACUGAUUUUGGGUCCCGAUAUGAUCCGAACGUUUCGAGGGAACCCCGGGGUCCGAUUAUAGGGAACUUGUCAAAACUCGCUGUUUUGGCCUAUUCCGGUCGGUUUUGUAUGCUAUUAGUCACUAAUUUUGGUUUGUGCUGUGAUCCGAACGUUUCGAGAACCUCGGUGUCCGGUUAUAGGGAACUCGUCAAAACUCACAGUAUUGGCCUAUUCCGGCUAGUUUUCUAUCCUAAUAUUCACUGAUUUUGGCUCCCGAUGAGAUCCGAACGUUUCGGUUACCCCGGGGUUCGGUUAUGCGGAACUCGUUAAAACUCGCAGUUUUGGGCAUAUUCUGGCCAGUUUUCUAUGCUAUUAGUCACUGAUUUUGGGUCCCGCUGUGAUCCGAACGUUUCGGGAACCCCGGUGUUGGGGAUAUUACCUAUGGGUAACCCGCCCUUAAUGGGCCGGGUCACCAAAGGGGCAACUCACCAUGGGCUACGCGUCCCGUGGCCCAAGAACUGAGGGGCGGUUCAGAAGAUCGUGCGGAAGAUGGAAUGUCAAGGAAGUUCCUGAUUGUGGAGAACACGGACACUUAGAGAUAAGGAAAGCUACGAAGAGUAGAAUGGCAGGACUUUGUAAACCCUAGGGCCUCGACCUGUAUAUAAAGGCCAGUCCCAGGGAGAGGUCAGGCGAGUUAGAGAGAAUCGAGAGCUAGGUCAGGCGAGUUACGCCCUCCUUGUAAUCGAAACCACCAUUAAUCCACUUAAAGCAGGACGUAGGCUUUUACCUCCUCACGAGGGGCCGAACCUGGGUAAAUCUCAGUCUCGCUUUCGCUCACCCCCUUCGAGUCGCCACCAAAGUGCGAUGGCUCCAUCUCUAAGUCCUUUCACAAGGACAUCUGCCAUGACAAAACCACGACACUUGGCACCCACCGUGGGGCUAGCGCACGGUGGAGUUGAGUUCUCGAAGGGAGCCCUACCAGGGUUAGAAAGCUAUGUGGUCGGCAUCAUGACUAAAAUUAGCCGCGGGAAGUACUACAUCGACAAUUUGCUGUGGGAGCCGGAGGCCGAUUCCGUCGAAUCUGGCUACCAAGUCCCCUUCGGCAAGAUCAACGUCUUCAUCGGCAUGAUCGGGACACCUGUGCCUGAGCCGGACAUCUCCACCGACAUCGUUGAGCCGGCUAGGUACCUCCUCCCCGUUACACGGCGGGACAACAGUCGCCAUGUCUUCGUCGGUUUUACGCAGGCAAAUGACGCGCAAGAUGAAGUGGCGGGUCAGGAGAUAACCCCCGUCAAUUCUGAUGGUGAGUCAUCCAUGGGCGAGACGAAGUCGAUCCACCCUCUCAAGGAAGGACAGCUUGGGGGGCUGUCGUUAGCAACGGAUCCCGAGGUCUUCGAGAGGUCUCACCGGCAAAUCGCCAUCUACAUGGCGGGGCCACCGCAGCCUCAGCAGAACCCAACUGGCAAUAAUGAGACCGGGGGAACAUCCAAACCCCCAGCGCAAACCAUGACAGAGCUGGCGGCGGAGAUCGCCAGUCUCAUGGCAACCAUGAUCACGUCUGAAAAUCAGGAGUUUGUCAACGCGAGCUAGCUAAACUGUGGGAGGCGAUGGCCAAGGCCCAGUGGGACAUCGAAGCAGAAGCCGCCAGAAUUGAGACGCAGCGAGCCGCGGUUGCAGUGGAGACAGAUCGACUAAACACUGAGGGUUGGCGGCUCGAGAGACAGCAGCGCGCGUGUGACGCUGUUCACCAAAGGAGACACAAUGGGCACAUCCCGUCCGAUUUACACCCAACUCGCCUUUUCGACACUCCGUGCACCCCCGGGGCGGGUCCCGAUCGGCCUUUACAAACCAUCCCGAGGGGAGGAGCGGUUCCGCCGCCCAAUCCACCGACACCUCAGCCAAUGGAUGCUCACGCGGCUCGGUUCCAGACACCGUGGGGCCACUUCUCGAAUCCCGUGGACAAUGUGCUGGCAGCAACCCGCCACCUGGAGUCCCUUCCGAUCUACGGAAACACCCCGGCCGAGAUAGAAGCCAGAAACACCAUCGAGAUGCUAAAGACGGUCGUGGGUCAGCAGGCGCAGUAUUCUCAUAGCCUUGAUCGGCUACACUCCACACCUCAGGCAAGUCACACCAGAAGUCGCCACGAGGAUUUCCCAGCAGUAACCAGUGGGCCGCGGCGACUCCUUCAACAUGACUCGCUCGGAAUGCCCGGCGCACGGGCUCAGGAUAUUGUUGAUGCAGCACGAGCCGCACGGCACAUAGAGCUGACGGCCGCGUCGGGUCAGGCCAACCCGCCUUACAUACCGUCACCUCCCGCACCCCUGGACGCAGGGGGCAAGCAUAUUGGGGUAUCAUGUCUCGCCCCAGCUUUGCGCAACGAGCGCAUGCCGAAGGACUUCAAAGGGCCCAGGAAGGUUCCCAACUACUCGUCGGAUCUCGAACCCGGAUCAUGGAUCGAGAGCUACGAACUCGCGAUGGAUAUGCUUGACGUAAGCGAGGCGGUCUGCGCUAAAUACUUCACUAUGAUGCUUGAAGGGACGGCACGCACGUGGGUGAAAAACCUGCCGCCCAACUCCUUCAAUACUUGGGCGGAGCUGAAGGAGCGCUUCAUCAAAAACUUCAGAGGGACCUGCAAGCGCCCAAUGACUAUCGUCGACCUACAUCACUGCGUCCAGCGGCCGGAUGAGUCGGCUCACCAUUGGACCCGGCGAGUCGCGGAAGUUAUCCAUUCCUCGGAAGGCAUUUCGGCGGCUCGGGCGGUGUUGAUCUUGGAGAAGAACUGCCACUACGAGCCUCUGGUACUAAAGUUGGGGAGACUUAAGCGAAAGGUACAGGACAUGGGCGAGCUAAUGGACACCCUUACCAGGUAUGCCGAGUCAGACGACACCAAGGAUCCUGGAGAGGGCGACGACAAAAUUAAUACCGCCAGGAAGGGCGAGUUACACAAGGGCCAUCCCCAGUUUCAAAACCGGGGCAAUAACCACCAUGGCGGGCAUGGCAAGAAGCGACAACAGGAAGGUCCUACGGAGUUUGUUGCUAAUACUAAUACCGGCAACGCGAACCCACGUCAGAAGAAGUAGGGCUUUAGUGGGAAGAAACCACGUAAUUACCAUGAAAUGCUUAAAGGCCCGUGCCCGCAGCACACCACAGCCGAAGGACCGGCGACUCACUCGUGGGAAGAUUGCUACGUAAUGCAAGAAUUUCGGGCCGAGGCACUCAAGAGAAGUCAAGGCGGCGAGCAGGGUCAGUGGCAGGAGCAGCCCGGCGCGUCCGGGUCACGCCAGGUCACGUUCGGGGGUUUUCCUAACCAUGGACCACAGGGCGGGUCGCAGCACAACGCCGGCCAGUACCAGGUUCAUAACCAGCAGUAGCACCCACAGGGAAUGUUCCAACAACCCCCCCCCCCCCGCAGGGAGACCCCCAGCGGCAGGAGGAUCAGGGCGGGUUCCAAAAUAACCCCAAACAAUUGAAUAGUGGACAGUACCAUGUGUUCACCACCAACACCUGUAAGCGGGAUCAUAAGGUGAAGCAUAGAACUUUCGUAGCUGAGCCGGCGCUCCCCGAUACCUUCACUGGUCUGAGCAAUCCAUAACAUGGAGCAGGCAAGACCAUCACCCCGAGUGGACAACCCUGGCGACUUAGCUUUGUUCGUGGCUCCCCAAGUCGGGGGAUACACCCUUUCCAAGGUCCUCAUGGACGGAGGCAGCAGCAUCAACAUCUUAUACUUCGACACUUUCCGGCGGAUGAACCUCUUGGAGAAGGAUCUGAUGCCAUUAUCCACGGUUUUUCACGGCAUUGUUCCCGGCAAGUCGGCAUAUCCAAUUGGGCGGAUUAAGCUUAACGUGGCUUCUGGCACGGAGUUGAACUAUAGGAGUGAGUCCUUUCUGUUCGAAGUGGUCAAAAUCAAGAGCCCCUAUCAUGGCUGUUUGGGCGGCCUGCGUACGCCAAGUUCAUGGCCCGCCCAUGCUAUGUGUACCUCAAGCUCAAGAUGCAUGGACCUAAGGGCCCUAUUACCGUCCACGACGACAGGAAAAUAGCCCAAGAAUGUGAAGAAGGAGACGCGACUUAUGCUGAGUCGGCUUGCGCGGCUGAGGAACUUAAGUUUCACCAAUCCAAUGUCGACCCGACGGACAUGACGCCGCUCAAAAGGCCAACCAUCGAUUCUGAGCCAUCGCUCAAGUUUAAACCAACGGAUGACACCAAGGUUAUCGACUUUACGCCGGGCGAUUCCACCAAGCAGUUCACUAUUGGGGCGGGUCUCGACCCCAAAUAGGAAAGCGCGCUCAUCGAAUUCAUCAGUGAGAUUUGGGACAUCUUUGCGUGGAAAGCUUCUGACAUGCCAGGUGUACCAAGAGAAUUUGCUGAGCACCAUCUUAAUACUGACCCUACAAUUAAGCCAGUUCGGCAGUACCUUCGCAGGUUUAACGAGGAAUGACGUAAGGCGAUCGAAGAGGAAGUAGCCCGGCUCCUUGUCGCUGGGUUCAUCAUCGAGGUUUUUCAUCCUGAAUGGCUGGCUAACCCGGUCCUGGUGCUCAAGAAGAAUGGCACCUUCCGCAUGUGCAUUGAUUACAUCCACCUCAACGGCGGGUUGCGAACGUCUGUGUUUCUUGGACGCUUAUUCAGGAUACCAUCAGAUAAAGAUGGCGGUGGCGGAUCAGGAAAAGACAGCCUUCAUCACCCCAUUUGGAGCCUUCUGUUACGUGUCCAUGUCGUUUGGGCUCAAGAGUGCGGGGGCGACUUACCAGCGCUGCAUCCAAAACUGCCUACACAUCCAGAUAGGUCGUAACGUCCACGCUUAUGUGGACGACAUCGUGGUGAGGUCUCACCGCAAGGAGUCGCUCUUGGAGGAUCUCAAGGAAACCUUCGACAACCUGCGUGUUUACCGGAUGAGGCUUAACCCCACCAAGUGUGUUUUUGGUGUCCCUACGGGGAAGUUAUUGGGUUUCUUGGUAUCAGAGCGUGGCAUUGAGGCCAACCUGGAUAAAAUUGAAGCAAUUACCUCGCUUGGGAAACCGACCAACGUCAACCACGUGCAGCGCAUGGCGGGUCGAAUCGCAGCCUUAAGCCGCUUCAUAAGUCGCCUUGGGGAGAAGGCCAUCCCUCUCUACCAGCUGCUCAAGAAAACAGAUCGUUUCGUAUGGAUGGACGAAGCCAACGAAGCCUUCAAAGCCCUGAAGCGACAAUUAGCUAACCCGCCAGUGUUGGCAGCUCCUGCAGACAAGGAACCUAUGCUCCUGUACAUUGCAGCCAAUUCCAAAGCAGUCAGCGUGGCGGUAGUUAUAGAACGAAAGAAAGAAGGGGAGGGAGUAUCCGUUCCAGCGACCGGUAUAUUCCAUCACGACGUCCUCACCCACUCCAAACAGCGCUACCCACAUUGGCAGAAAUUGGUUUUGGGGGUGUUCGUGGUGAGUCGAAAGCUGAAGCAUUACUUCCAGGAACACCCGAUCACGGUCGCCAGCUCCGCCCCCCUCGGCGACAUCAUACAAAACCGAGAGGCUACUGGACAGAUUGCUAAGUGGGCCAUCGGGCUUGGAUCCCAUCAGGUGCGAUAUAUGCCUCGGACAGCCAUCAAAUCUCAAGCACUCGUGGACUUCAUCAACGAUUGGACCGAGUUACAAAUCCCUGAGGAAAGACCAGAUCUUAUGUAUUGGACCAUCUAUUUCGAUGGGUCCAGACAGUUGGAAGGCUCGGGGGCUGGUGUGGUCAUAACUUCGCCUCAAGGUGACAAAUUUGGCUAUGUCCUUCGGCUCAUGUUUCCAUGUACCAAUAACACAGCGGAAUACGAAGCUUUGCUCCAUGGUUUGCGACUUGCCAAAGAGAUGAAUCUCACACGAGUGAGAUGUUUGGGCGAUUCAGAUCUGGUAGCGCAGCAGGUUUGUGGCACUUGGGAUUCACGAGACCCUCUGAUGGCGGCUUACAUGCGAGUUGUGUCAGACGUGGCGGGUCACUUCAAUGGUUAUCAAGUGGAUCACAUCGAUCGGCGGCUUAAUGAAGCAGCAGAUGCUCUUUCCCGCCUUGGUUCACAGUGUAAGCCAGUUCCCCCCCCCCCAAUGUAUUUUUGGAUGUAUUACAUAACCCUUCAGUAAAACUGCCUUCAGAGGAGGAUUUAGCGGUACCGGAUCCCGAGUCUCAGCUCGUGGCGGCUCUUCAUGCCACUCCAGACUGGGCGAUCCCUUACAUGACAUACCUCACCAGAGGCGAGUUACCAGCCGACGAGUUGCUAGCUCACCAAAUCGUUCGUCGGUGUAAAUCCAUGGUCAUACACAAUGGCGAGUUACACAAACGAAGCACCUCGGGGGUAUUUCAAAGAUGCGUCUCUUCAGAAGAAGGAUGUACGAUCCUCAAUGAGAUUCACGCGGGCGACUCUGGUCAUCAUGUUGGGUCUCGAUCCCUAGUUUCUAAAGCCUUCAGACAUGGGUUUUAUUGGCUAACGGCUCACGCAGACGCAGAGGAGAUCGUUCACCGAUGUGAUGGCUGCCAAAAAAUUGGACGUCAGAUGCAUGUGCCGGCUCAGGAAUUGCAGAUGAUACCAAUCACUUGGCCGUUUGUAGUCUGGGGGCUUGAUAUGGUCGGCCCCUUCAAGAUGUCUUCUACCAAGAAGACUCGCCUAUUGGUGGCGGUUGAUAAAUUUACCAAGUGGGUGGAGGCAGAACCUGUUAGCAGUUGUGACGCUGAUACAGCCGUCAAAUUCUUGAAGAAACUGAUUUUCAAAUUCGGUUACCCUCAUAGUAUCAUUACUGACAAUGGUACUAACCUAUCCAAAGGUGCAAUGCAAGAGUUUUGUUCACGAGAGCAUAUCCAGCUUGAUGUUUCCACGGUUGCGCAUCCCCGGUCUAAUGGACAGGCAGAGAGGGCGAAUCAGGAAAUAUUGCGGGGCAUUAAGCCUCGGCUCAUGGUACCUUUGGAACAUACACCAGGAUGUUGGGUUGAGGAGUUGCCAUCAGUACUGUGGAGUAUCAGAACAACUCCAAACCGCUCCACGGGUUUUACUCCUUUCUUUUUGGUCUCCGGGGCAGAAGCAGUGUUACCUAGUGAUAUUAAACAUGAUUCGCCACAAGUCGCCGCCUACGUGGAGUAGGACAACGAGUUGGCGCGACAAGACUCGCUGGACGCCUUGAGGAGGAACGUGACUUGGCCGCGUCACGGUCGGUGAUUUACCAGCAGGACUUGCGUCGUUACCAUAGUCGCCGGGUCAAGAGCCGAGCUUUCCAAGAAGGCGACUUAGUGCUCCGUUUGAUUCAAGAUCAUACUGGUAUGCACAAGCUAUCACCUCCAUAGGAAGGACCGUUUGUCGUCAGCAAGAAUCUUCGGAACGGUUCAUACUAUUUGGUGGAUCUUCGCCCGGAGCAACCAACUACACAGGUUGAGACAACUCGCCCCUCGAACAUAGCCCAUCUGCGGCCUUACUACACUUAGAUUCAUGAGCUCCUUCGUUUUUCUUUAUCAGUUUCCAGCAAAUUGUAAUCCAUGAAUUAUGAAAGCAAUAAAGCCGGCACCCACGAAUUUCGGGGUCCUUUGCCGUUUCAGCUUUUGAAAGCAUGAGUCUUUAUUGUUCUAUAAGUCACCCAAACAUGGACGCUAUCAAAGUCAAAGAGCGUAAGUCGCCAUGCUGCACUUGCUUCAAAACUGGGCUUUGAUAAAAGCCAAAGAGGACCAAUAUUGCCACGUCGCAUGGUUCAAACAUAGGCGCCUUAUAUGGUUUUGGAGAAUUAAGUCGGCUUACUUGGGGGAUGCUAGUCCCCAAGUCGUUUUGCAGUAAGAGCGUAUACGCUUCUGUAAUCCUAUGCCUCGUUUCUUCCUAAACCAUAGGUCACUUGGGGGCUUCCACUCAUUGAGUCCAGCCUGAAUACCCUCUUGGCUAGCGAAAAAUUACCGCAUUACAAAUGGUUAUACUGGACUGUGUGUUGAACAAGUCGCCACAUGGACCUAUGUACUCAAGGCGAGUCAAACCGUUAUUUGGACCCUGAACUCGCCUUGGUUAAAACAUAAAAGGUACCGGCCAGAGUCACAUAUGGAAAAUAGAGAAACCAUUGGUUCAUUGAACCUGCUUCACAGAAGCUUGACUCGCGCCUGAUCAGCUGGUCUAAAACCAACAAGGCUUUUUUGCAAAAGUUUCCUAAGGGUAACACUAGAGUUUUGCAAACUCGUCUUAUCCUAUCGAAACUCACUGAGUCGAUAAAAUCUUUAUUUUUAGCCGGCUUUGAUUAUAACUCACCCCGGCUCAUAUUUCUCGCUGUAACCCGGGGGCUGGUUUAUUUCUUGCCAUAUCCCGGGGGCUAAUUUAUUUCUUGCCAUGAUCCAGGGGGUGGUUUAUUCCUGACCAUGCACUUACUGACUCGGCUGCUGUUUAUAAAAAUAAUUUUUGAGACAUUCCUUGGUUGCAGGCGAGUCAUGCAUAAGAUUCAAGGACUACAAGUGGUCCCAUCAGAAAACAAUACGGCAUAUUUGGUGUUCCACACACACUGGCAAGACUAUUACAUGGCUCGCAUGGCCAGAAUGGGUGUCAUCCCCUAGUGAAGGAAGGAUCCAUGGGCAAAUCAGGCCGCCGCCGAGUCGCCUUGUCUCGAGCUCUCCCCGCCCUCGAUUCGUAAGUUGCCCCACUUCCAAUUACACUUGGACAAGGCAAUGAACUCGUCUUCAUCAUCAAGGAAGAGAGAUAGGUCCAAGUCAAGAUCAAAAGGAUUCUUGGGACGACUAGGAACCAGGCUGGCGGUUUCAUAUGCAGGAGGCAUCACCUUCUUUUUGUUCUCAUCAUAGGCGGCUUGGUAUUUGUUCAGAUCUAAACUAGCCACUAGUUGAGUCACCGCAUAGCGAGAUUCCACGAUGGUUCGGUGAUAGUCCACCUCGGUGAAUUCUGACCCAUCAUCCUUCAGCUCAGGGUAGCCAGCGACUAUUUCUUCGGUUUUGAGCUCAGGGGCGUAAGCUAACCACCGACUUAGGGUGUUCAACACUCCCUUUCGGGCGGCUGAUCUUUUUAACUCCUUUGUCUGAGGAGGCAAUGUAGACAAGAAGCCAAGCAUCUGCUUGAUGGUCAUUAUUGGUCCCUUGCUGCCCAUCACUGCCUUGAUCGACAACACGCCCCCGGUGUAUAGCUGCUCAGCAAAGGUAUAUAUGGCUUUUAAUUUAAGCAGGCAAUCGUCCGGGAGAUUGGCGGCUCAUGCACCUGCAAAGGGUAAAUUAGUAUUUGAUAGUUUUUUUAUUCCAGAUUAGUUAGUCAAACAAGUUAAUGGAUAACGCUUACCAAACAUGGCGACUGUCAUAUUGGACACAUGCUUUUUUAAGCCGGCUAGCUCUUGCUGGGCGGCUUCCAAUUUCUCCUCAGCCUGCUCAGCACGCUUCAGGAUGGCGGCUUGAUCGGACUUGGCUUUCUUCUCAAGUUUUUUCUGGUCAGCUUUCAUCUUCUCUAGCUCAGCCUGCAGUAAGUGGAAUUUCGUCUCCAACUCGGAGUGGGCAUCCUGUUGUUCAGCCAGAUUUUUCUUUAAGCCGGCUAAUGCCGACUCAGUCUGUGCCAUAGACUCCUCCACAUCAAAUUUGGGGAGACAAGUUUCAGAAUCAUUACAAGCGAUACUCCUGAUACUUGGGGGCUAAUGUAUGAUUUUCAUUAGAAAUCAUACCGUAUGCAAGACCCGGCUCAUCUUCCAAAAGAUGACCCGGCCCUUGGGGCUACAGGCUGAAGUUUUUUCUAAAUACAAGACCCGGCUCAUCUUCCAAAAGAUGACCCGGCCCUUGGGGGCUACAGGCUGAAGUUUUUUCUAAAUAUAAGACCCGGCUCAUCUUCCUAAAGAUGACCCGGCCCUUGCGGGCUACAGGCUGAAGUUUUUUUUUCUAAAUAUAAGACCCGGCUCAUCUUCCUAAAGAUGACCCGGCCCCUGGGGGCUACAGGCUGAAGUUUUUUCUAAAUGUAAGACCCGACUCAUCUUCCUAAAGAUGACCCGGCCCUUGGGGGCUACAGUUUGGAGAUUUUUUCUACUACAAAGACCUGGCUCAUCUUUCAAAAAGAUGAGACGGCCCUUGGAAGGCUAAUGGGUGCAGGAAAAUACGUCAACAUACCUCAUGUUUGGUCCUCAUAAGACGGAGCAAGCUCUUGUUCAGUUCAAAAUCCCUCUCCAGAUGACUUGUGAAGCCGGAGCAAAGCUGGUCGAAUUCCAGCUUCUCAUAUUGGGGGAGCUCGAGAGUUUAUGUGUCUUCAUCAGGGGAAAAGCGAGUUUCCUUGGAGGUAUGUUUGGAAAGCAUGGCAGUUGGGGGAGUGGAGUAGCCAACGCCAGUGACCACGACGUCUGGAUCGGCAGUCGCCUUGAGAGGGCUUGGCGGGUUACUCUCACCAGCGGUCUCCUUCAAAAUGACGGGCGAGUCAUCCCGGGUAUCGGGAACAUCGCCCGCAGCAAUAUCACAAGUCGCCGUUUGCUCCUCAUCAGUCUCAGGAACAGAGGUACUCGUGCCUAAGGCAUCAGAUGUUUGGAGAACAGAAUGAGAGUCGCCGGUUUUUCUUCUCUUCGCUUGUGCCCUGCGACAAAAGCACCAAGAUUAAAAGCACAUAUAAUUGUUUAGAAGAAAUUGGGUUAACAAAAGAAAACUUACCCUUCCACAUGAAUCAUCGGCGGGAGAGCGGAUAUUGCUGAGUCGCCAGAUGUAGGAGGAGAAGUCUGACAGAACAAAGGCUUGAAGUUUACAAAGUGGCGAGUCAUAUUUCACACGACAAAAGGUAUAAUAAAACAAGAAUGCACCUCGCUGGUGCGCUUCCGACCGGUUGUCUUCUCAGGCAGUCCGGUGAUCAAGUCGCCAGAGCGACUACGGGUCUUGCGCGAGGGGGUAAAUCUUGCUUUCUUCAAAAGGAAAUCAGGGUCCAUAUAGGCAUGUGGGUGAGACAUGGGCACUUUUCUGUAGAUCCGCCUGGCUGGUCUAGGGGAAGGAGAAGGUGAGUCAGAAGAAAUGGAAAUUACCCCGACUGCAUCAUUUUUGCUCUCAUCAUCGUCACCCUACACAUAAGGAUGUAUGGUGUAAACUUAAGUCGGAACACAGAGAUGAGGAGCAAGGGGAAAACCUUACCUCUGAGUGUGCCUCGUCUGCGUGUGAGUCGCCAACAAAAGACGAAUCUUUUGUGGCGGUUUUCUUUUUGCUCACCGUGUUCUUCUUUUUUGGCGGCACCUUGGUGGACUUCGGGGCGGCCGCUUUGGGGCCCCUUCGCCAAAACACAUCGGUUUUCUGAAGGAUGGAGGCGAAUCUUAAACCACGAACAUUAAGUGUAAGUAAGACAAAAGGUGGCCUGGAUUCUUACUGGUGGCACCGGAUUGGCGUGGCAGAAGGCUUUAAGACCAAUCUUGGCGCAUUCUUCCAAAGACUCGCCGGUCAGUUUCUUGAUGACUCCGACAAUUUCGCUCUCUGAGAGCCGGCGGCGACAGACGCACUGUGGAUGGUCUACUGUGCUGUCGUAAUCAUACAUCAGCCCGUCACGGCGACUCAGGGGAAGGAUGUUCCAUUCUAUCCAGCAGCGGAAUAGAUCGAUCCCGAUGAGCCCGUUGUUGUUCAAAAAUUUCAAAUCGGAGAAGAUUGGGAUAAACUCUGACUCUUCUUCUUCUGUGAGCUUAUCAGGAAAUUUGAAGUCCAUGGCAGGCGGUUUGCUCUGAAGCCCGGGAGAGGGUUCUCGCCUGGUGGAGAAGUGACUCGGCAGUAGAACCAUGACUCGGCCCAACCUUUGGGAUGGCUGGGCCAAAGAACUGUCGGGAAUCCACGUUUGCGGCGUCUUUGGAUCUUAACUCCUCCAAGCUCAUGGUUGGGACCGUUGGGAAACUCGGUCUGGCGGUUUAGAUGGAAAAAGUUUCUAGAAUAAGGGGAUCAUGGGUUCUUUCUGCAAAUAUACUUCGCAGAAGACCUGGAACUGGCAUAAGUUGCUAAUGGAGUUGGGUCCCAGAUCUUGAGGAUGGACGUUGAGGAAAUGCAGGACGUCCCGGAAAAACUUUUACCCAGGCAGCUUAAAAUCGCGCUCAAGGUAAUCGGUGAAGAUUACUACUUCUCCUGGAGCGGGGUUGGGGGUCAACUCGCCCGGAGCAGUUCUCCAACCAAUGGUUUCCUUGCUGUCAAGGAGACCCGACUUAACGAAUUUCUCAAGUGUGGCGACUUUGGUUGGUAACCAGUCACACUUCGUAAUGGCCAUGACUACAAAAAAAAGAGGGGAACGAGGCGACUCAGUAACAUACUAGGAGAUGUUCUAACCCGCCGAUAUGGGCCUACGGUGUUCGUACAAAAUUUGAUAACACGCCAAAAGGUUGACGUACAUCAUGGCUCGUUAUUUGGGCGAUCUAUGGGUAUAUCUUCAAGAGUAUUCUAACUCGCCCUUCAGACUGGAAGAGAAGGCGUCAUGGCUAUGGUAAUGAAACUAAGUCGCUAUGAAGACCGAAGCUAAACGACGACUCUCAGAAGUGUUCUUUUCCUUAGUGAAACUCUCAACAGAUGAAAAAACAUGUUUCUACAGAUAGGCAGUAAAAGUGUGGAUCUGCGGAUGGAUCAAAAUAGAAGGAUAUUGCAUGGAAUAAUGGUAAUGAACUAUGCACAUAACGCAGCUACAGUGUUGGUCAGCAGUAUGUAGGUUUAAACUGGCAAAAGGGCAUGAUUAAAUGGUCGAAGCUUGUUACUACCUAAGGUCAAUCACGAGAGCAUGGAACGAAUCUGAGGCAGUUAAGUGUGUUCAUCGCAUUAUGAAGCUAGCUCGCAAGAGGCUACGGUCAUGGCGUUCUCGGCCUAACCCUAAGUGGGGGAAGGUGUGUACCUGUGAACAGGAGAUCGCCGCCGGGGACGAAUGCUCGCUGCUUCGUGUUCCUUGGUGAUCGGAAGGUCACGGUCAAUGGAGAAGCCCGAGGAGCCGGAGACGACGUCGGGGCGCUGGAGCUUGGAGACGACGCCGAGGUGCUGGCGCUCGGAGACGAAGUGCGCGGGGAAGACAAGGACGUGAUGGAGGUUGGUGACAGGGUUUCUGCCCCCCCCCCAUUCCCCUUGUUAUUUAAAGGGCAAAAACGGAAAUCGAGGUUGUCAAGGCGGAAAUCGAGGCGACAAGUCACAGAUGGUGAUGAUGGCGCCUAGAUUUUCGAGAUAAGCAAUUAUGGACAAAAGAUCCGUUGACGGUUACGGUGUUAAGAGCCCUGGAACUAAGGGGGCGAGGCGACGCCAUUCAGUAUUACAUGGAGACUCAGAACAAGUAUGAUGGAUGACGACUUAACAUUCGUCGAAGGUCAGAAAUGAGGAGAGUCGCCCGAGUAGAUAGGAGUUUAUUGACAUGAAUGAAUUCAGGACAAUCUGGGGCCAAAUGUUGGGGAUAUUACCUAUGGGUAACCUGCCCUUAAUUGGUCGGGUCACCAAAGGGGAGACUCACCAUGGGCUGCGCGUCCCGUGGCCCAGGAACUGAAGGGCGGUUCCAAAGAUCGUGCGGAAGAUGGAAUGUCAAGGAAGUUCCUGAUUGUGGAGAACACAGCGACUUAGAGAUAAGGAAAGCUACGAAGAGUAGAAUGGCAGGACUUUGUAAACCCUAGGGCCUCGACCUGUAUAUAAAGGCGAGUCCCAGGGAGAGGUCAGGUGAAUUAGAGAGAAUCGAGAGCUAGGUCAGGCGAGUUACGCCCUCCUUGUAAUCGAAACCACCAUUAAUCCACUUAAAGCAGGACGUAGGCUUUUAACUCCUCACGAGGGGCCGAACCUGGGUAAAUCUGAGUCUCACUUUCACUCACCCCCUUCGAGUUACCACCAAGGUGUGAUGGCUCCAUCUCUAAGUCCUUCCACAAGGACAUCUGCCGUGACAAAACCACGACACCGGGGGACCGAUUACGGGGAACUCGUGAAAAGUCGCGGUUUUAGCCUAUUCCAGCCAGUUUUGUAUGCUAUUGGUGUGUGAUUUUGGUUCCCGAUGUGAUCCGGAUGUUUGGCGAACCCUUGCAUCCGGUUACGGGGAACUCGUCAAAACUCAUAGUUUUGGCCUAUUCCGACCAGUUUUGUAUCACUGAUUUUGGGUCCUGUUGUGAUCCAAACGUUUUGGGAACCUCGGGAUCCGGUUACGGGGAACUCGUCGAAACUCGCAGUUUUGGCCUAUUGUGGCUAGUUUUCUAUGCUAUUAGUCAUUGAUUUUGGGUUCCGCUGUGAUCCGAACAUUUCAGGAACCGUGGGGUCCGGUUAUGGGGAAGUCGUCAAAACUAGCAGUUUUGGCCUAUUCUGGCCAGUUUUGUAUGCUAUUAGUCACUGAUUUUGGGUCCCGCUGUGAUCCAAACGUUUUGGGAACCUCGGGGUCCGGUUAUGGGGAACUCAUCAAAACUAGCAGUUUUGGCCUAUUCUGGCCAGUUUUCUAUCCUAUUAGUCAGUGAUUUUGGGUCCCGAUGCGAUGCGAACGUUUCGGGAACCCCGGGGUCCGGUUACGGGGAACUUGCAAAACUUGCAAAACUCGCAGUUUUGGCCUAUUCUAGCUAGUUUUCUAUGCUAUUAGUCAUUGAUUUUGGGUCCCGAUGCGAUCCAAACGUUUCGGGAACCCCGGGGUCCGGUUACGGGAAACAAGUCAAAACUCAUAGUUUUGGCCUAUUUUGGCGAGUUUUGUAUGCUAUUAGUCACUCAUUUUGGAUGCCGCUGUGAUCCGAAUGUUUCGGGAAACUGGGGGCCCGGUUACAUGGAACUCGUCAAAACUCAUAGUUUUGGCCUAUUUUGGCCAGUUUUCUAUGCUAUUAGUCACUGAUUAUGGGUCCUGCUGCGAUCCAAAUGUUUCGGGAGCCCCGAGGUCCGAUUACGGGGAACUUGUCAAAACUCGCAAUUUUGGCCUAUUCUAGCCUGUUUUCAAUGUUAUUACUCACUGAUUUUGGGUCCCGCUGCGAUCCGAACGUUUCGGGAACCCCGAGUUCCAGUCACGGGGAACUCGUCAAAACUCGCACAUUUGGCCUAUUAUAGCCAGUUUUCUAUGCUACCAGUCACUUCUUUUGGGUCCCAAUGUGAUCCCAAGGUUUCGGGAAACCUUGGGUCCGGUUACGGGGAACUCGUGAAAACUCGCAAUUUUGGCCUAUUUUGGCCAGUUUAUAUGCUAUUACUCACUGAUUUUGGGUCCCACUUCGAUACAAACGUUUCGGGAACCUCGGGAUCCGGUUACAUGGAACUCAUCAAAACUCGUAGUUUUGGCCUACUCUAGACAUUUUUCUAUUCUAGUAGUCAUUGAUUUUUGGUCCCGCUGUGAUCCGAACGUUUCGGAAACCCCGGGGUCCGGUUACGGGUAACUCGUCAAAACUCGUAGUUUUGGCCUAUUCCAUCCAGUUUUGUAUGCUAUUAGUCACUCAUUCUGGUUGUCGUUGUGAUUCGAAUGUUUAGGGAACCUCGGGUUCCGGUUACGGGGAACUCGUCAAAACUCGAUGUUUUGGCCUAUUCUGGCCAGUUUCUAUGCUAUUACUCACUGAUUUUGGGUCCCGCUGUGAUCCGAAUGUUUCGGGAACCCCGAAUUCCAGUUACGGGGAACUCGUCAAAACUCGCACAUUUGGCCUAUUAUAGCCAGUUUACUAUGCUACCAGUCAUUGAUUUUGGGUCCCGAUGUGAUCCCAAGGUUUCAGGAACCCUUGGGUCCGGUUACGGGGAACUCGUGAAAACUCGCAAUUUUGGCCUAUUCUGGCCUUUUUAUAUGAUAUUACUCACUGAUUUUGGGUCCCAUUUUGAUACAAACGUUUCGGGAACCUCGGGGACCGGUUACAUGGAACUCGUCAAAACUCGUAGUUUGGGCCUACUCUAGACAUUUUUCUAUGCUAUUAAUCAUUGAUUUAGGGUCCCGCUAUGAUUCGAACGUUUCGGAAACCCCGAGGUCCGGUUACGGGGAACUCGUCAAAACUCGUAGUUUUGGCCUAUUUCGUCCAGUUUUGUAUGCUAUUAGUCACUCAUUCUGGGUGUCACUGUGAUUCAAAUGUUUCGGGAACCUCGGGGUCCCGUUACGGGGAACUCGUCAAAACUCGUUGUUUUGGCCUAUUCCGGGUGGUUUCGUAUGCUAUUAGUCACUGAUUUUGGGUGUCAUUGUGAUUCGAACGUUUCGGGAACCUCGGGGUUCGGUUACGGGGAACUCCUCAAAACUCGCUGAUUUGGCCUAUUCUCGCCAGUUUUCUAUGCUAUGAGUCACUUAUUUUGGGUCCCGAUGUGAUCUGAAUAUUUCGGGAACCCUUGGGUCCGGUAAUAGGGAAUUCGUCAAAACUCGCAAUUUUGGCCUAUUCCUGCCAUUUUUGUAUGCUAUUACUCACUGAUUUUGGGUCCCACUCUGAUCCAAACAUUUCGGAAACCUUGGGGUCCGGUUACAUGGAACUCGUCAAAACUUGUAGUUUUGGCCUGCUCUAGCCAGUUUUCUAUGCUAUUACUCAUUGAUUUUUGGUCCCACUAUGAUCCAAAUAUUUCGGGAACCCCGGGGUCCGGUUACGGGGAACUCGUCAAAACUCAUAGUUUGGCCUAUUCGUUCCAGAUUUGUAUGCUAUUAGUCACUCAUUUUGGGUCCCGAUGUGAUCCAAACGUUUUGGGAACCCCGGGACUAAUUACAGGGAACUCGUCAAAACUCAUAGGUUUGGCCUAUUCCUGCCAGUUUUGUAUGCUAUUAGCCACUGAUUUUGGGUGUCGGUGUGAUUCGAAAUUUUUGGGAACCUCGGGGUUCGGUUACGGGGAACCCGUCAAAACUCGCUGUUUUGGCCUAUUCCGGCGGUUUUGUAUGCUAUUGGUCACUAAUUUUGGGUCCCGAUGUGAUCUGAACGUUUUGGGAACCCCGGGGUCCGAUUACAACAUGUCAGAACUCGCAGUUUUGGCCUAUUCUAGCUAGUUUUGUAUGCUAUAGUCACUGAUUUUGGAUGUCGUGGUGAUCCGAACGUUUCGGGAACCUCGGGGUCCGGUUAAAUGGAACUCAUCAAAACUCGUAGUUUUGGGCUAUUUUGGCCAGUUUUCUAUGCUAUUAGUGAGUGAUUUUGGGUCCUGUUGUGAUUCGAACGUUUCCGGAACCCCGAGGUCCGGUUACGGGGAACUUGGCAAAACUCGCAAUUUUAGCGUAUCUGGGCUGUUUUCUAUGCUAUUACUCACUGAUUUUGGGCCCCGCUGCAGUCUGAACGUUUCGGGAACCCCGAGUUCCAGUUAUGGGGAACUCGUCAAAACUCGCAGUAUUGGCCUAUUCUAGCCAGUUUUCUAUGCGACGAGUCACUGAUUUUGGGUCCCGAUGUGAUCCGAAUGUUUCGGGAACCCUUGGGUUCGGUUACGGGGAACUCGUUAAAACUCAAAAAUUUUGCCUAUUCUGGCCAGUUUUGUAUGCUAUUACUCACUGAUUUUGGGUCGCACUUCGAUCCAAACGUUUCGGGAACCUCGGGGUCCGGUUACAUGGAACUCGUCAAAACUUAUAGUUUUGGCCUAUUCCGGCCAGUUUCGUAUGCUAAUAGUCAUUGAUUUUGGGUCCCGCUAUGAUUCGAACGUUUCAGGAACCCCAGGGUCCGGUUACGGGGAACUCGUCAAAAGUCGUAGUUUUGGCCUAUUCCGGCCAGUUUUGUAUGCCAUUAGUCACUCAUUUUGGUUCCCGAUGUGAUCCGAACGUUUGGGGAACCCCGGGGUCCAAUUACAAGGAACUCAUCAAAACUCGCAGGCUUGCCCUAUUCCGGCCAGUUUUAUAUGCUAUUAGUCAUUGAUUUUGGGUGUCGCUGCGAUCCUAUCAUUUCAGGAACCCCGGGGUCCGGUUACGGGGAACUCGUGAAAACUCAGUUUUGGCCUAUUCCGCCCAGUUUUGUAUGUUAUUGGUCAGUGAUUUUGGUUCCCGAUGUGAUCCGAAUGUUCCGGGAACCCUUGGGUUCGGUUAUGGGGAACUCAUCAAAACUCGAAGUUUUGGCCUAUUCCGGCAAGUUUUGAAUCACUGAUUUUGGGUCCUGCUGUGAUCCCAACGUUUUGGGAACCUCGGGGUCCGGUUAUGGGGAACUCGUCGAAACUCGCAAUUUUGGCCUAUUGUGGCUAGUUUUGUAUGUUAUUAGUCACUGAUUUUGGGUCCCGCUGUGAUCCAAACAUUUCAGGAACCUCGGGGUCCGGUUAUGGGGAACUCGUCAAAACUCGUAGUUUUGGCCUAUUUCGGCCAAUUUUCUAUCUUAUUAGUCACUGAUUUUGGGUCCCGAUGCGAUGCAAACAUUUGGAAACCCCGGGGUCCGGUUAUGGGGAACUUGCCAAAACUCGCAAAACCCGCAGUUUUUGCCUAUUCUAGCUAGUUUCCUAUGCUAUUACUCACUGAUUUUGGGUCCCGAUGCGAUCCAAACGUUUCGGGAACCCCGGGGUCCGGUUACGGGGAACUCAUCAAAACUUGCAGUUUUGUCCUAUUCUUGUCAGUUUAGUAUGCUAUUAGUCACUGGUUUUGGAUGCCGCUGAGAUCCGAACGUUUCGGGAACCUCGGGGUCCGGUUACAUGGAACUCGUCAAAACUCAUAGUUUUGGCCUAUUUUGACCAGUUUUCUAUGCUAUUAGUCACUCAUUUUGGGUCCUGCUGCGAUCCGAACGUUUUUGGAACCCCAAGGUUCGGUUACGGGGAACUUGUCAAAACUCGCAAUUUUGGCCUAUUCUGGCGAGUUUUCUAUGCUAUUAGUCACUGAUUUUAAGUCCCGUCGUGAUUCGAACGUUUCGGGAACCCCGAGUUCCAGUUACGGGAACUCGCCAAAACUCGUUGUUUUGGCCUAUUCUAGCGAGUUUUCUAUGAUAUUUGUCACUGAUUUUGGGUCCUGAUGUGAUCCGAAUAUUUCGGGAACCCUUGGGUCCGGUUAUGGGGAACUCGUCAAAACUCGCAAUUUUGGCUUAUUCCUUCUAGUUUUGUAUGCUAUUACUCACUGAUUUUGGGUCCCACUCCGAUCCAAACGUUUCGGGAACCUUGGGGUCCGGUUACAUGGAACUCGUUAAAACUCGUAGUUUUGGCCUACUCUAGCCAGUUUUCUAUGCUAUUAGUCAUUGAUUUUGGGUCCCGUUGUGAUCCGAACGUUUUGGAAACCCCGGGGUCUGGUUACGGGGAACUCGUCAAAACUCGUAGUUUUGGCCUAUUCCGUCCAGAUUUGUAUGCUAUUAGUCACUCAUUUUGGGUCCCGAUGUGAUCCAAACGUUUUGGGAACCCCGGGGUCCGAUUAAAGGGAACUCGUCAAAACUUGCGGGUUUGGCCUAUUCCUGCCAGUUUUGUAUGCUAUUAGUACUGAUUUUGGGUGUCGCUGUGAUUCGAACGUUUCGGGAACCUCGGGGUUCGGUUACGGGGAACUUGUCAAAACUCGUUGUUUUGGCCAAUUCCAGCCGGUUUUGUAUGCUAUUGGUCACUCAUUUUGGGUCCCGAUGUGAUCCGAACGUUUCGGGAACCCCGAGGUCCGAUUACAGGAAACUUGUCAAAACUCGCAGUUUUGGCCUAUUCUAGCCAGUUUUGUAUGCUAUUAGUUACAGAUUUUGGAUGCCGCCGUGGUCCGAACGUUUCGGGAACCUCGGGGUCUGGUUUCGGGAAUGUUUUGGGAACUCGCAAAACUCGUAGUUUUGGGCUAUUUUGGCCAGUAUUUAUUUUCGUGCGUGUCCGGAUUGCUCAGACCCCGUAGGUGAAAUGCUCAUGAUUUUAGGGACCUUUUGCCAUGUAUUUUAGAGUAGUUGUUUGCAUUUUUGCAUGUAGGUUCCGUCGCUAGUUUGUUAUAUCAUGUUAGGACAUAUUCUCGCAUAUACGUGUGACGUUAUUUUUAUUUUGCAACCCCUCUUGUUAUAUAUGUUUUCGCGAUAGAAAAAAAUCCAUAGAAUUUAACUAUGCAUUUAGUUUUAUCUUUUGAGCAAGUUAGUGCGCGUGAUAUUUUGCCAUGUUGCCCUUUUGCCUAUUUUGUGUGAUUUAAUCCGUGCAUGAUAUGAAUAAGUUGUCAACUAGAGAUAUGCCCUUGGAUGUGUAGGCUAGCCUCUGGUAAUUUUGGUUGCAAUAGAAAUCCAUGUUUAGGUGUUAUUUGCAUGUUCUCAACUUGCUAGAAAAUAGUGCUGAUUUGGAGAUGCUGAAAUAUUUCUAUGUCUGAAAUCUGUUAUAUUUUGUUGUUGUCUUGUCAUGAGUUUAGCUGGUGAUGUGUAGCUCUUUUGAGGUUGGUGCAAUGGAGUUAGUUGUAGUCCUUAAGAUUCUCUAGAAUGCUGUGAAUUUUCAUGCCAUUUGGUGCCCUGUAGCAUAUUGUUUUCUUGCUGUCAAUAUGCCUUCACAUCAAAAACUGCACCGUCAUAAACUGAUAUUUUCACUAAGUCUGAAACUGUGUGUGAGAUGCCAUUUUGUGAGUUCUUUUCCUAGUGAUCCAUGCUUCCAUGCUAGAUGUUAUUAGUAGUAUGUUGUAGUGCAUAUUUCCCUAUAAUUUCUCAUGCUUUGUUGGGAAUUUUGGAUUUGUGUAGCUAGUUGUUCGAGGGCGUAGAAAAUGCUAUGUGGCUGAUUUUGGCAAAUUGUAGUGAUUUCUUGUUUAGCUCGUAGUUGUUGAACCGUUGCUCCAUUUUGAUCGUGUCCUAUAUGAAACUUGCUUAGAAUCUUGUGUAGUUUCAUAUUAUCUUGUUGGUUGUAUGUUUUGAAAUCUUGUGGCUACCAUUUGCACACAUAUUGCAUUCAUGCCAUCAUAUCUUGCGGUGUUCGUAUCUUUUGAACCGUAGCUCCGUUGGAGAUGUUCUCUAUGUGUAAAUUGAUUGAAACGACGCGUACAAUCACAUGAACCUAUUUAUUUUUCUGUUUAACAAAUAUUGGAACAUGUUAAUUCAGUUCUGGACAGAAUUAUAAAUUGACGUAUGAGAUCAUCUCGGAGAUGCUAUAUGUCGUUUCCGACCUCAUUUAAAAUGCCUAGAUAGAUAGCUUAGUUACGCUUAACCUUUUGCCAUGUUUAACCAACAUUUAAUAUUGGCGUGUACCUAAUCGGGAUAGAACUAAAUAAUUCGUAUGUGGAGUUUCGUCAAUAUGCAACUCGUUGCAUAUUGAACUUCACUUAAUGUGUAGUGUUUGAUUGUUGUGAAUUGUCAUGCCAUGUCUUGCAUAUAUUCAACUAAUCAUGCAUCAUAUGCGGAUUGCAUCUUGUCGUGCAUGUGCCGUGGUGAAUAUCUGUGUUGAUGGUUGUUUCUGGAUUCCUUCGUCUCGCUAGAAUUCCGCAAGCGUGUCGGAAUGUGAGGACCCGUUCGACUACAUCGGUUCGUCUGCUUCACGGAGUCGUUCUUCUUCCAAGCGGGAUCUCAGGCAAUAUGAUCAUUUCCCCAGAUACCAUUACUAUCAUUGUCAUGCUAGUUUUAUCAUUUCUAUCGUUAUGUCUCGUUGCCUACCACCUGUUAAAUAUGAGCCUCCCAACAUUGCCAUGAAAACCUUCAACCUGUUCACCACCUAGCAAACCACUGAUUGGCUAUGUUACCACUUGCUUUACCAUGUGUUAGCGUUGCUAGUUGCAGGUGCAGUUGCUUCUAUGUGAUAACAUGGGUUCCUUGUCAUAUCACCAUAUUAUUGCUAAAUAAUUCAAUGCACCUAUAUACUUGGUAAAAGGUGGAAGGCUCGGCCUUUCUAGCCUGGUGUUUUGUUCCACCUUUGCCCCCUUAGUUUCGUCUACCGGUGUUAUGUUCCAUAAUUGAGCGCUCCUAACACGAUUGGGGUUGUUAUGGGGACCCCCUUGAUAAUUCAUUUUAGAUUAAAGCUGGUCUGGCAAGGCCCAACAUUGGUACUAUAUUUUGCCCAACAUAAUAAUUCUGUUAACAGUGAAAAGCAUAGGGCGUCAUGAACUCGAGGAGUAAUUCUACAUAACACAGGGAGGGCCAGUGCUGAUGGUGCUGGUCCAAAACAGAGCACUGUGCGAGGCCAACCAGGGCAACUUGGGUGAUUUCUAUCAGGCCACCGUACGCGUCGCUUAUCCGUCGUGUCCUGAGAACGAGAUACGCGGCUCCUAUCGGGAUCAUCGACACGUCGGGUGGCCUUGCUGGAUUAGUUUUACCUUUGACGAAUGUCUUGUGCAUCGGGAUUCCGGUGAUGCUUUGGGUAAUCUCAAAGUUGAGGUUUUCCACUAAGGAGUCCGACGAGAUCGCGAGCUUCGUGAUCGAGGAUUUCUAUGCGGCUUGUGGUAAUUUGUGAUGGACUAGUUGGAGCACCCCUGUAGGGUUAAAUCUUUCGGAAAGCCAUGCCCGCGGUUAUGUGGCAACGUGGAAACUUUGUUUAACACUGGUUCUAGAUAACUUGAAGUAAAACUUAAUUAAAACUUGCCAACUGAGUGCGUAACCGUGACUGACUAUUUCACGAGCUCCUUCUUGGAUCGAGGACACGGUGGGGUUAUGUUUGACGUAAGUAGGUGUUCAGGAUCAUUCAUUUUAUCGUCAGUAGUUCACGUCCGCUAUGCGUAGAUCAUCUCCCUCUUAUUCUUGUACUCGUAAAUUAGUCACUAAAUAAAAGCUUAGUCGCUUGUUGCAGCCUCACCACUUAACCAUACCUCACCUAUUAAGCUUUGCUAGUCUUGAUACCUUUGGAAAUGAGAUUCCUGAGUCCUCUCUGGCUCACAGAUUACUACAACACCAGUUGCAGGUACAGGUAAAGGUUAAUUUACGCGAGCGCGUUGAUUGUUCAUUUGGAGUUGUUUCUUCUUCCUCUCUUCUUCAUCGAUCUAGGAUGGGUUCCAGGCCGGCAGCCUGGGAUAGCAAGGAUGGACGUCGUUCUUUUCUCGUUUGUUUUCAUCCGUAGUCGGACCCUGCUCUUGUUUGUGAUGUUUAUGUAUUGUACUGAUGAUACUCUGAUGUAGCUUGUGGCGAGUGUAAGCCAAUUCCACAUAUGUCACCUUUUCAGUACAUGUACUUGUAACGAUAUUCAUUCUUGUGAAAUGACCAGACGCGCUUCUAUCCCUGUCUAGGCCCUCGCGCCAAAAUAAGGAUAGGAUCGCAUCUUGGGCGUUACACUGUCCAACCCCAUGUUCAUAACAUGUGUUCACAUUAUUCGUUUGACGCCUUCAUUUCCAUGAGCUGUGGAACAUAUUCAUCAACCAAUACAUGUGCUAGUCUAAUAUUUUUAGGGAAACACUUCUCUACAGAAGUCUGAUGCGUAGCAUUCGUCAGACUGGUCAUCGGCCAUUGAUUUCCCUUUGAUCUCACGGUUGAGGGAAGCAAUAAAAAUCCUACGCGAGAUAUUUUUCCAAACUGCUCGAGUUUUACGUCCAGCCCCGAAAAUCUCUCCUUCUCCCAAAUAAAUUACCCUAAACAGAACAGACCUAGUCCCCAUCUCGCGAUUGCCCCGCCGCCGCAGAUCUCUCUCCAAGCUAGCAUCCUGCCCCGACGACCCGUCCUCCGCCCCGCCUAGCCGACAUGCCAUCCCGUUCGGCAGCCGAGGAGGGACGGCCGCAUGACCUGCCAGCCAGUGACCUCGCGAACUCCCGGUCGUAUUUAUCUCCACCACGAUCAUGCCCUGCUCCACUUGCAGCCAUGGCCUGAGGUCCACCUCACCGGAGUGCCAACAAAAUAGCCAUCAUGGCUCGACUACCACAUCAUUCGCCCAGCCCAUCUCCCUAUCUGACCAAGGGUUUGAUUCACCUCUCUUGAUACUGUACAAUUCAUGCAUUGCUUGUUAAUUUUGGCCUAAUUGUUUUAUGAAAUUUGUGUGGUCUCUUUGUGUAUACUUUGGUUUAUUCCGUUUAUGUGGGCGUGAAAUUGGGACGUGCAUUUCAUAUUUACUAUAUCAUCCAUAAUUUUCUAUGAAAUUAGUAUGUACAUCGUAUAAAUAUGAUUCCUAGUUGGUGACGAUACUAGUUUUUGUCCUAGUUUCUAAUUUCCAUGCUUCCAAGUAACACUACUGAUGUAUCCAGUGCCAUUUAUUCGUGCUUCUACAACGUCAUAGUAUUGCUUCGUUCGGCUAGAUAAAAUCUCCCAUGGAGGAACAUUCUUUUGUGUGAUCUCUUUGUGUGGAUAUUUUAGUUUAUAACUCUUGGCUGCGGCUGUGAAAUUGUGACCUAUAUUAUGUAGUCCGUCACCAUAUCAUCAAUAAAUUUCUAUGAAAUUAGUAUGUAUUACAUCAUACAAAUAUGCCUCCCUAGUUGGUGUCGAUACUAGUUUUUUUUUCAUCAUCAGUUUUUCAUGGUUUUGAGUCGCACCACUUAUGUACCCAGUAUUAUUUUUCGGUGCUUUUACACUGUAAUAAUAUUGCUUUGUUUAGCUAGAUAAUUGCUCACACAUGAAUGAAGAGCAAAUCCGUUAAAUAUAUAUAUGUCGACGACGCAAAAGAUGGAUCCCCAUGUUGGCCGCGAGCGUAUUACCUCAUUGUCAACAUUUUAUUCCAUGCUUCCAACCAGGAUGGGUAAUGUUCAGUUACCAUAUUUUCAUGCUUCCUACAUUUUCCCUUAUUUUCUUUCACAAAUAAGUUUCUUAAUUCUAUUGCAUUGCUUCCAUACAGCUGUUUUUAGCAACCAUCUUCAUGUCUCUCUUCAUUCCCUCUAUGACCGUAUCUUCAUUUCUUACAUUUUCAGUGGACAUGCGACAAUGAAUUAGACUGAAGCAGAGGGUAUGCUCAAGGGUACGCACAUCACCUCCAUUGUCGCCAUCCACUGCGCCGUCCAUGUUCCCUCCAACAACACCGUCCCUGAUUCGAUUCUUUGUGUCAUGCCUUUAAACCCACCUGCACCGGCCCCACUCCUCGAUGUUUUCAUUUCCAAUGUUCUAUGCUUCCCCCUAAAAUCAGUCAUACUGAGAUAGGAUAUUUUCUUGCUUCCUGCAUAUGGGGUUCCUAUAUCACACUUUGUGUGCUUUUUUGGUUUGUGGAUUGCUUCCAUGAUCCAUGUCUUAUUUUAGAAAUUUAUUCUUGCCAUUGGUAUCACCAUUGAAACAUGCCAUGCUCUCAUAUUAUAGUAUAGAUGUUUCUUGGUAUAGGUCAUUUUCUUCCAAAAUUUUAUUUAUAAUGUUCUAAUUAAUCGUAUAAUUUUAAUGUACAUGUUAUGUGCUUCAUUACUAAUGUGCAUGUAGUACAGAUUUUUGCUUCAUACCUUUGAUAUUCAUGCAUCAUGCCUAACUGAUAAAUGCCUCAAGCAGUUGUGUGCUGGCUUCGGGGCUGAUAGGUGUUGAAAAGGCACGCAUAUAUGGCGGCGAAGCACUGAAAAGCAUGGACAUACAUGGAUCUACCUCAUAAUGAACAUGACCACACACUACAUGAAGGGAAGCAGGUCUCUAGUCUUUAAGAAACAUACAGUGUGGAAGCAUCAUACUAUUGGCGACUUGAAGAAAAUAUGAUUUAUGAGUGGGCGGAGCAAGGAAACAAAUUUAUAUUCGGUCAGGAGCAAAUUAGUUUUGCGAUGGAAGCACUUUUAUAGUGGAUGGUAGCAAAGUUUGUUUUGUGUUGGAAAUAUAAUGAAAAUAUAUAUUUGACUCUAAUUUCUCUGCAUGGAAACAAAUUCUUUGAUGCAAAAUUUUAGUAUUAGAUUGGAGUAAAGUUCUUGGACACAAGUUUUUCAGGUCCAGGCAAUUUUCAAUUGCAAUAGAAGCAAAUUGUGUUGUUCAUGGUAGCAAAUUUUUAUUCUAUUCAAAACAAAAGUAAAGACGUUCACUGGACAUAGAUUUCAUUACAUCAAAACACGCGAUAAAGAAAUUUACAUUAGAACCCUUUUCUUUUGUUCAAUGUAGUUUUUCCAAGAUAAACAAUUACUAUGUUGAGAUAAGACAUUCUAACAUAGUCGAGGGAUUGAAGCAAAAGCACCAUGCACCAUGGUCAACUCUGUUCUAGGAAGCAAGCCUCCAGAAGUUAAUGGGUAGGCGCGUGUUUUGGAGCAGUUACACUAAUCAGGAAAUAAAAGCUGGACUUUGCCUCUGGCCCACGAGAUUUGAAACGUAUUGUAGUAUGCCAUAUGGAAUUUUUCAUAUGACAAAAGUUUAUUAGGAGGAAAUUGGUAUAGGGGUAUAGCGUUGCCUUAGUUGAAUGUUCCCUUUCUCCUUUCGCGUUGCUCGUUGUUCUUUCUGUUUUAAGUAUAUGAUGAUGUGACCUAUCAUGUAAUUGAUUGGAAAUGCCCUAACGAAAUGAUAUACAUAAGUAAUACAUUGAUGUCCUAAGAAUUGUACUAGCAUGACGCGUAUACUUGAAUAAUAUAACCGCGUGGAACAUGUGGCUAGCAAACACUGGAAUAACAUGCCCACAAAAAGAACUUGAAUAACAUACAGCGGAAAUCAUCUUUAAAUGGUAAGGAAAAAAAGUCAAAAAAUGCUUAGACAAUUACGAGAAAAGAUGGACAUAUAGAAACAUAUUCAUGAGAAUUUCAUUACUGUACAAAUGGACGGGAAUGUCUUCAAGGUGUACCUUCUUUUGAAAAAACAUCAUCAACUUUAUUAAUUUGAAACAAUUGUUACAUUGUCUAUAAGUAUAGAUACAAUAUUUUCGAGAGGCUCCUCAAUCCACUCCAUCGUAUCAAAACUUUUUGCUAGUCUCGCGAGCUCAUGAGCUAUCUUGUUUGCUUCUAUAUUACAAUGCUCAAAACUAGUAAAAGAAAAAUCACAAGCCAUAAAAAAUUCCUUAAAGAUUGCAGCCGCCGCUCCUACAGAGUAUCCUCCGUUGUUCAUUUUUUCAAUUACUUCCAUAUCUUCAAGGGGUACUUUGUUGCACAAUAAGUUGCAUAAACUUAUAAGAAGUUCAAUACUACUCCCUGCGUUUCAAAAUAAGUGUCUCAAGUUUAACGCAACUUUAUAUUAAAGCUAGUAUUAAACUUCACACGCUUAUUCUGGGACUGAGGAAGUAUGAAAUAGUAUGAUUCAUUUUAAAAUUUUGCACGUCCUGUAAAUGGUCAUAUUAAUUUACAGUUUCUAUUAUGGAAUAGUGUGUUUUCCCCCCCCCCCCCCCCCUUUUUUUUUUUGCAUCGAAAUAUUCGUACACCGAUUGUAUACAUGUAGAAUCAUUUCCACAGCAUUUUCGCAGCUUCAUGACAUCCCAGGACAGCCUCCCAUCAAAAAGAAAAAAAGUACUGUACCAUGGCCGAAUUAGUUAUGGGUGAUGUGAGCUGAGGCACAGGACAGCGAUGCUAGCGCACCACAAGUACGGCGAAACGCACCUACACACGCACGUACGCAAGGACCGACGUGUCGGCCCAACGCGGCCGCUCCGGCCUGCCGCCCCACACAUGCUUCCAGCACGGCUCGGCGGAUAGCGGCGCCAGAUCACGGCGGACGACGACGGCGCCGGGGGCUCGACGNCUCGGCGGUCCACAGGUUCCCCGGCGCCGUCGCUGUCGUCGGUGUCACUUGCGGGCGCCGUAGGGCCGGCAGCCGGAAGGGAGGGGUGGGGACGGGGAGAACGGUGCGGAAUCUCAGUUUUUGUAGCUCGGGAGAGGUUGCGGGUUGCGGUGGACAUGCGCGGUGCUCGGGGACAA